rnacentral:lncRNA from 1 species
UACGUGUGUGAUGAAGCAUGGUGUAGUAGCAAACUAGCAACUGUUUCUGACAUACCAUGGAUUUCUUUCUGCCUCUAUUUGAUGCUCGGUGGUGCUGAUCCGAAGGUCCGUGCGGACCCUGCUCUGGACAUAUGUCUCCUUAAUUUCCGUGUGCAAUUGUGCAAUCCAUGCUUUACACUUUAAAAUGAGAAUAAAAUUUAGCUCAUGUUGCCCUUCCAUCAUGCACCCAGAAUAUAUUAUCUUUCUGCUUUUUAUAUUUUGGUUGGGCAUGUUUCAUGAUCAGAGGAUCGAUGAUUUGUGAUGAUUUGUUAUGCUAGACAAUGGAAAUAAGAUUUGGUGGAAAACAAAUGAUAUGAUAGGUGAUUUAUGAUGUACUACUAUUUUAGAUAACAAUACUAAGCUUUUAUUUGGUUGUUCUGCAUUUUUCCCUUUGCGAAGAUAGAUAUUAUAAGAGAUAAACAUCAUGUACAGGUUAACUUUUUGUGUGCCUAUUAGUAUGCCUUGCUGCCAAGUGGAAAUAGUCUAUAUGAUGCUCAAAAAUAGAGCUUCCUGGUGGGAAGGAUGAGGCACACUCAUUGAUACUUUGGUUUUAUAUCCAUUUGUUAUGCAGUUUUUCUCUUCCAAGCAUAUAAACUUUAGCAAAUUAGAGUGUGCAAUCAAGUCUCCUAAGUGAACAUUUUUACCAUAUUAUCAAGUUUGAGGGCAUAUACGAUACGAGCAUAUAAGAUAAGAGCAUGUCAUGCUACCUGAAAAUCUGCCUGGAGAUCUAAUUCCGUAUUUUUUCUAUUUUGUCGUUUAGAAAACCAGUUUCCUGAGUUGUUAGUCUGAGUAUUCAAAUUGAUCCGCAGAGUUCAGGGCUUCUGGAUGGAAGAGUUUCCUACAACGUCAAAAUCUUAGUACUCUCUACAUAGACUUCAUAAUUAUGCCUGACUUUUUCUGAGGAAUUGUUGAAGUAUGCCUUUUCUUUGGGUUGUUUGUGCAUUUGCAGUGUUGGAGGUGUUAGUGCAAGAUUGUAGAGUUGGAAAGUAUAGUAAAACGUCAGUUGGUGCAGGGACUUGGUGAAGCCAUCAGCCUCAACUGUGUCUGCUUCCCCGAUGGUUUUGACUUCUGACUAGUGAUUCUGAUGCAUAUUACUUGAUGAUUUGGUCUUUGUGGCAACUUUCAGUUUGAACUGGCAUUCAGUGGCUUCAUCCUCUUUGGUGCAGCCUGGAGUUAGUAGUGUGCACAUCUGAAUCUCUUGACUUUUUCCUGAAGCAUAUUACGUGGUUUAUGGUGUCUGCUAACUUGCAUGCGAUUUUGAUGGAAUCUGAUCUUGUUUUUUGCUCCCAGUAUAUACAAAAGGCUAGAAGUAAAUGAUGGAAGAUCCUUUAGUCUCAACGAGGGUUCUACUUUUGUACUCAAAGUUUGUAUGGUAGAUAAUCAAAUUUUGUUCUUUAGCUUGCAAAAUUAUCAGCUUAUAGAGAAGUAAAUGUUGCAUUGAGCUCUUAUUAUCUCCACUAGCAGGCAGAAGAGUUUAAGCCUGUCAUUUAGCAAAUGUGUAGCUUAAUUUAUUGUUGCUUGUAUCUGCUACUAAUAGUUUAUUGUGUUUUGGUAAGUGAAAAUAAUAUAGUGAGCAGUAUGGAUCACUUAGUUAAUUACAUGACUUGGAGGCAUUCAGGAUGCAUGAAAAAGUUCAGCAGGGUGAGCACUGGUCUAAGAGAGUACACUAUCUAGCUAAAUUAUUUACAGAUGAAGAUAAAGUUGGUGGAGUUGCUUGUGGCCUGUCAGCACUCCGGAUGAUUUGCUAUUGGCCUUCAUGCUUGGAGUCGAGAGAAUAAUUCUUUUAAGCUCUGGUUGUUAUAUAUUCUUGGCAGACCUGAGUGUUUGGGUUUAUAUUGGAUUUUCGUGCAGAAAAGAUCCGCUGGCUUUGUAUGCUCUCAUGUACAGUGUGCUCAGAGGAUGGCAGAGUUGCAAUGAUAUCUUUGUUCGAUGUAUCAUCUGCCAUUGGUACAUAGGAUGAAGAAGGUGGGAUGGCCAGGCAGCGUGUUGAUCAUCAGGAGUAGCGGUAACUGGUCUUAAUUCUCUAAGUAUUCUGUUGCUCAUACAUGGAAAUGUAAAUUGCUUGGGAUGUACCUUGGCCAUGGCUGUGCAUCUGGACAGUUAGAACAACCAUAUGAUCCAUUUCCAUCUGUUCUCGUUUUCUCCCAGCAAACUUUACAACUCAUAUACCACCAGUUAUUUCAGUGACUUUGAUUCUCAGCUUAUAGUAUUUCUUCUACACAUGUAUUGAAAAUAUGUAUUCCGGCCGAAAGUAUAUGUAGUUGUAGAAAUGACGGUGGAUUAUUUUUAAAUACCAGUGUCAGUGGGAUCAACCAAAGCAUUGAUAGUGAUUUCUGUUGUUUCUUGGCGACCUUGCCCUGUAUUUCGCUGCUGAAUUGCAUAUGGCAUAUUUUUGGAAAAAC